ACAGAGAGAGACAGACAGGAGCGUUCACGAGUGAGAGAGACAAAAGCGUUCACUACUGGGAGACAGACAGAAGCGUUCACUACUGAGAGGACAGACAGAAGCGUCCACGACUGAGAGAGACAGACAGAAGCGUUCACGACUGAGAGAGACAGACAGAAGCGUUCACGACUGAGAGAGACAGACAGAAGCGUUCACGACUGAGAUUGACAGACAGAAGCGUUCACUACGGAGAGACAGACAGAAGCGUUCACUACAGAGAGAGACAGACAGAAGCGUUCACGACUGAGAGACAGACAGAAGCUUUCACUACAGAGAGACAGACAGAAGCGUUCACGACUGAGAUUGACAGACAGAAGCGUUCACUACUGAGAGACAGACAGAAGCGUUCACUACUGAGAAACAGACAGAAGCGUUCACUACUGAGAAACAGACAGAAGUGUUCACUACUGAGAGAGACAGACAGAAGCGUUCACUACUGAGGGAGACAGAAGCGUUCACUACAGAGAGACAGACAGACAGAGUAAGAGACACUUACAUCUUUGCUGACUGAAUCACUUUCAGUGUCACUUUUCUUCCUGUCGUCCUCUUUUCUGAAAUGAAGCAGUUAGUGAGAAGUGUCUUACCAUCUGUUCUGUUUAUGCAUCAUAUGGAGUUUUCUAAAAACUGCUAGCUUUAGGAAACUAGUUACUGGUUUUACCAAAGUUUGCCCCACUAACCUGGAGUCUCUCUUUCUCUGUCUGCUCAGAGCCACUUUCUUCUCCAGGACCUUCUUCUCUUUUCGAGCCUCUUUAGCUCGGGGUCUCUGAUCCGCCAGUUUCUUCCGAUCUGUCACGAGAAAAUCACGUCAGAGACCAGAUCAACACACACACACACACACACACACACACACACAAGUGUAGGUACCCUGUUCCUCGUUCUGGGCUGCUCUCAGUCUGCGUUUCUCCUCCAUACGCUCACGGUUCUGCUGCCGCUUCAACAGACGCUCCUCUUUGUCUUUGGCCUGCGGAGGAAAGACGAAAUUUAAGAAAAUGAUAUCAGAUCGGAUUUCAACAGCAAUAACCAGAUGAAAAUGAAGCAUCAUCACAAUAACUGAAACCAUUUUUAGGGCUGGGUUGAAAAUAUUGUUUUCCCAUUUUAAAUCGAUUUCUAUUUUGAUGAACUGUUAUUGAUUAUUAAAUCCUAAGAAUCAUCAGUGCAGUUUUUAAUGAUAGCCACCAUUUAAAUGUUUAUAUUUCAAACAACCAAUUGAAGUAAAAAGGUAAUUUUAUCAUUAAAAAGUGAAUACAACUAUUAUUAUAAACACUGCCUUUUGUACAAU
ensembl:lncRNA